GCUCGGUUCGUCUAACGGUUAGGACACAUGGUUUUCAACCAUGGAAUAGGGGUUCGAUUCCCCUAUCGAGUA
rnacentral:tRNA from 1 species